UACAGAGGGGGCAAGCGUUGUUCGGAAUCACUGGGCGUAAAGCGCACGUAGGCGGAUCUUUAAGGCAGGGGUGAAAUCCUGGAGCUCAACUCCAGAACUGCCUUUGAUACUGGGGAUCUCGAGUCCGGAAGAGGUGAGUGGAACUCCGAGUGUAGAGGUGAAAUUCGUAGAUAUUCGCAAGAACACCAGUGGCGAAGGCGGCUCACUGGCCCGAUACUGACGCUGAGGCACGAAAGCGUGGGGAGCAAACAGG
rnacentral:rRNA from 1 species